AUUGAACGCUGGCGGAAUGCUUUACACAUGCAAGUCGAACGGUAGAGGGGGCAACCCCUCGAGAGUGGCGAACGGGUGAGUAAUGUAUCGGAACGUGCCCAGUCGUGGGGGAUAACGUAGUGAAAAUUACGCUAAUACCGCAUACGAUCUAUGGAUGAAAGCGGGGGAUCGCAAGACCUCGCGCGAUUGGAGCGGCCGAUAUCAGAUUAGGUAGUUGGUGGGGUAAAGGCCCACCAAGCCAACGAUCUGUAGCUGGUCUGAGAGGACGACCAGCCACACUGGAACUGAGACACGGUCCAGACUCCUACGGGAGGCAGCAGUGGGGAAUUUUGGACAAUGGGCGCAAGCCUGAUCCAGCAAUGCCGCGUGCAGGAAGAAGGCCUUUGGGUUGUAAACUGCUUUUGUACGGAACGAAACGGCGAGCUCUAAUACAGUUUGCUAAUGACGGUACCGUAAGAAUAAGCACCGGCUAACUACGUGCCAGCAGCCGCCGCCG
rnacentral:rRNA from 1 species